rnacentral:rRNA from 1 species
UACAGAGGGGGCAAGCGUUAUUCGGAAUUAUUGGGCGUAAAGGGCGCGUAGGCGGCUUUUCAAGUGACGGGUGAAAUCCCUCGGCUUAACCGAGGAACUGCCUGUCAGACUGGAAGGCUUGAGACCGGGAGAGGUGAGUGGAAUUCCCAGUGUAGCGGUGAAAUGCGUAGAUAUUGGGAGGAACACCUAUGGCGAAGGCAGCUCGCUGGGACGUUACUGACGCUGAGACGCGAAAGCGUGGGGAGCAAACAGG